GUCUCGGCGGCUGCGGAGCCCUCCUCGGCUCCGAAGGGCCAGAAGCCGGAGCCAGGGCUUGCCAUGGCGGAGGCGAACCGGCGGGGCGGGCGAGGAGCGGCGAUCUGCAGCCCAGGCGGCCCGAGCGAGUGCGCGGAGUGCACAGGAGGGAUUUCGAGCCCUGGCCUUGGAGGGAGGAAGGCGGGACCACACCAGGCACACACACGGUUAUGAGAAGUGUCCACCAUGAGACCUCACAGAAAUGGCUCCAUGCUUUAAAACAGUGCUGUGCUGGGAAAGCAGAAGAAAACCAGUCCAGGCAUCUCUUCGUGUGAAAUUACGGUCUGUUCCAGUUGCUGCAUCACACUGGCUUGCACGUAGACAAUAACUCCAGCUUUCCACGGCCAGAGGCUGCUGCCAGCCCUUCCCUGCCUUGCUCACUCAUGCCCCAGUCCACAGUGUUUUGUCAGUUCUGGAUGUAAUUCAGACACAAUCAGCCAUAUCACUGCUUUGUACAUUUUUAUUUACCGUUUCAUUAAUACAUGACAAAGCAACUUUAGACCAGAUUUCAAAAUUUUAACAAUUUAUAGCAAAUUUUACAUUGCUGUACGUUUUAAUCCGGUGCACAGCCUUGUAACUAGUUACAGAUCAGGAAGCAAUGGUUAUCUGUCUCUGGGGAAAAGGCCAAAACCCAGCCCCUGUGGCUGACUGCUGCCACCAAUUGUCACAUUUAGGAGGGCUGAGGAACCGAGUAGGAUCAGGCCUUUAUGCUGGCAUCAUGAAAUUUGCCUUCUCUUGCUUUGCAGCUGGGAACAUGCAAUUAUGAAUCCUGAAAGGAAGUGCUGCAAUUAUCUGUGUGGUUUCUGUGAAAUAAGGUCUUUUGAAUACGGAAUCAGGGGGAAAUUUGAACACUGGGGCUAUUGCUUUUAUUUUCAUUUAAUUUCUAGUGGAACUGAUUAAGAAUGAUCAUUACAUUUCAGCAGCAAUCAACCAGAGCGUGUAUUUCUAUUCCUUUCUUGGUACCCCAGAGAUUAAAAUUCCUAAAAAUCUAAUGCAAAUGAGAACAAAGCAAACAUGAUUUAGAAGUUCAUCACUUAGUCACAAAGCUCAGAGGCAGAGGAGAGGGCUGGAUAUAGUUCCCAAAAUGGACAUCUCCAACAUAAAGAUUAUACACACAAUAUUGACCUUUAAAACUGGCUACUAGCUUUACAGUAAAGUCAAUAAUGAAAUAAAUUGCCAUAGUAUGCUAUCCCAUUAAUUGUAUAUGUUUUCAUUAGAGGGACACUUGACACAAACAGGUCAUCCUAAAAUUUAAGCAAUGUAAACUAAAAUAAGCCGAAAUUCCCCCAUGGUGUUCUUGUAAUAUUUUUUUUCUUGUAAAACAAUUUGUUAGAAACAAUAACUAAGGUUUUCUGAAGCUGAAUAUGGAAAUUAGAAAGCUUAGCUAGGGAACUGUAAAGUAAAUUAUUAUUUUGAUUGGAUGAGACUGAUGAAAUGGAAAAAAUAAAUAUGCACUGCUAAAAGUAAACUAGA